GUUCUCUUUAUUUCAGCUAAACUUUCAUUUACAAAUGACUAUGGAUAAGCAAAGAGUGUCUUCCUUUGCCAUAUUUGAAGGUGGAACAUCUGUUUUUCUAGAGCAAUACACACAUAUAAGCAGCCAUGUAUAUGCGCAUAGAUUUACAUACAAACAUAUAGUAGCAAAAUCAUCAGCUAAAAAAAUCACGUGUCUUCAGUUUAGAAUUCUAGUAACUGGUAUUUAUUGUGAAGGGCUGGAUCUAAAUGAUGGCUAGUACCAAAAACUGUUUUACAGGUUGCAUUCAGGACCAAGGUAUUCCAUCCCAACAUUAACAGCAAUGGCAAUAUUUGCCUGGACAUACUCAAAGAACAAUGGAGUCCUGCUCUCACCAUAUCAAAGGUCGUAUUGGGGGACCUUUAUUCAUUGAUGUCAUUAUUAUAGUUUGUUUCUGUUUGUAGUAAAUGCUAACUGGUUGUCAAAAAUCAUGAUGCAGGUGCUGCUUUCUAUCUGUUCUCUGCUAACGGAUCCAAACCCCGAUGACCCUUUGAUGCCUGAAAUUGCUCACAUGUGCAAGACCGACAAAGUCAAGUAUGAGUCCACUGCUAGAAGCUGGACCCAGAAGUAUGCCAUGGGCUAAAGCUCUCUGCUUUCUUGCCUCCUCCUUUGGAAUUAUCUUUUUGCUCUUUAAAAACCUUCUCUUUUAUAGUAUUAUUAUUCAUUAAUAUAUAUACAUAUGACUGUGAAGCUUGAGCAUUACUGAAUAACUUGUAUACACAUGAGAAUUGUUCUCAAAGGCUUUACCUUUGUGAUUGGAGCUUUGCUCUCUAUGAAUAAAUGCUACUCUGAUUUGGAGCUUUUCUAUGUAUUCCCAUUGAAAAUAAUACCAAUACUAAAUUGUCGUAUACUUCCUUGAGUCAAGAAACAACUAAUAACUUGUUUACGCAGGUAGGUUCCCACGGUCCCAGAUCACUGGUUAGGUUUUCUGAAUUAUAUACAAGUAGUAAAGGUAGCAAUUAUUGCAGAAUAUAUGAGAUUAAUAUUCUGAUUUAGUAAAUGCAACAAGCAGUGUAUGAGCAUCUUUAAGAGCAAAAACAUGAUUAGCACGCAAAUGAAAUUCGAAAUUAGACAUUAGUGAUGCCAUGUCAAGCACGUAAAGCUACAUGAAACUUGCUAAUAAUAGGAUUUGAUGGUCUGCUUAUGGUUGGCGUUAUUACAUAAAGAAUAAGGCUUACAGCAUCAUAUUCUUGGACCAAAUAAUCCUCUUGCAUCGUUACAAAGAUGCAGUUGAGUAUUCCACAACACCUCUCUCAUAUCUGAUGCUACACCAUUCUCAGGCUUCAACUGCUUCCAUCUUCGUCCUUUCUAUUCAACCUUCCUAGUUUUUUUAUUCAAAUGGAAGCUUCUACUUCUGUUUUUUGUUCUCGAUUGAUCGUUACAUUUUACCAAUUUUUGUAGAUAGAUCUGACAUGUUAAAUAAAUAAAUAAG
rnacentral:lncRNA from 1 species